UGUAAGUAUAUGUUUGUAUGUCAUUAUAUGUUUGCAUAGUUUGUAUACAUAUACAUACACAAAUACACAUACAUACGUAUCUUUGUAAUACAAAUAAU
rnacentral:miRNA from 1 species